CAGUCGAGCGAACAGAUAAGGAGCUUGCUCCUUUGACGUUAGCGGCGGACGGGUGAGUAACACGUGGAUAACCUACCUAUAAGACUGGGAUAACUUCGGGAAACCGGAGCUAAUACCGGAUAACAUAUUGAACCGCAUGGUUCAAUAGUGAAAGGCGGCUUUGCUGUCACUUAUAGAUGGAUCCGCGCCGUAUUAGCUAGUUGGUAAGGUAACGGCUUACCAAGGCAACGAUACGUAGCCGACCUGAGAGGGUGAUCGGCCACACUGGAACUGAGACACGGUCCAGACUCCUACGGGAGGCAGCAGUAGGGAAUCUUCCGCAAUGGGCGAAAGCCUGACGGAGCAACGCCGCGUGAGUGAUGAAGGUCUUCGGAUCGUAAAACUCUGUUAUCAGGGAAGAACAAAUGUGUAAGUAACUGUGCACAUCUUGACGGUACCUGAUCAGAAAGCCACGGCUAACUACGUGCCAGCAGCCGCGGUAAUACGUAGGUGGCAAGCGUUAUCCGGAAUUAUUGGGCGUAAAGCGCGCGUAGGCGGUUUUUUAAGUCUGAUGUGAAAGCCCACGGCUCAACCGUGGAGGGUCAUUGGAAACUGGAAAACUUGAGUGCAGAAGAGGAAAGUGGAAUUCCAUGUGUAGCGGUGAAAUGCGCAGAGAUAUGGAGGAACACCAGUGGCGAAGGCGACUUUCUGGUCUGUAACUGACGCUGAUGUGCGAAAGCGUGGGGAUCAAACAGGAUUAGAUACCCUGGUAGUCCACGCCGUAAACGAUGAGUGCUAAGUGUUAGGGGGUUUCCGCCCCUUAGUGCUGCAGCUAACGCAUUAAGCACUCCGCCUGGGGAGUACGACCGCAAGGUUGAAACUCAAAGGAAUUGACG
rnacentral:rRNA from 1 species